GAACACUUGGAAUUCUGCAUUUACUGGAGUCCUGGAAAGCUACUCACACAUGUGCCCUUGUAGGGUUUUUCUCUCAAUGAAUCUCCUCAACAUGGUUGCCGCUGGACUCUGUUGAUCAAGCCUGGUCGUGAGGCUCUCCCGUCCUGAUCCCUCCCCACUCUGAGGCAGGUGUGCUUACGAAAUCCAGCCAGUUGCUGGCCAAGACCCAAAAAAAAAAAAAAAAAACAGAGAUGGACGGACCCAUGCAAACACCACAGCCCCCCAGGCUCUGCAGCUCGGCCAAAGAAGCUGGGAAAUCAUGCUGGAGCUUGGAUCCCAGGGUGGUGGUGCUUCUGAUGACUUUGGCUGGCGCUGUCAUCCUCCUACUCCUCUACAGACUCCUACAAAUAAGACACAGGCUGAGGAUGGCGAGUGCUAGGAAUGCUCUGGAGUACUACAGCUUCUACCACACGGCCACCUACACCCUUAAACAUCCUUCAUCGUACCGGAAGCUGUCAGCUCAAAAUGGGAAAAUUCCAGAGACCACUUCCCCCGUCCAGACUGUCAUCACGGCCCCACUUCCAAGCCCACCACCAGUAGGUCGUACAACAUCGUUGCCGCUUCCCCCAGCUCCUGCCCAUCCACCAGAACCUUCACUCCCGAUAACGCCGCCUCGACAGACUCUUCCUUUGCCUGUGAUCCACACCACUCCGCCAAGCCCACACCUGUCAUGGGGAGCUUGCUCAGAUGUGGAUGUGUACUCUUGCAUUGGAGCUUACAGGCCCUCUAGGCUCUCCAGCCACUCUAGCCAUUCAAAGGUCAUUCUUUUUGAACACUCGUUGCUCUAGCCUGAGUGGCAGACAGGAAUACUGCAUGACUUCCAGUCAAGCAACAGCACUGUCUCUGUUUUUAUCGACUUUCAUUAGGGCAGGGAUGUCAAACUGGUUUUCAUUGAGAGCCACAUCGCACUUAUGGCUGCCAUCAGAGGGCCACUUGUACCAGCAAAUAAUUGUAUGAAUUUGCCUCUGGAUUUCAUUAUUAACUAGAAGAGGCAAUUCCUGAAGGAAUUGCGUGUGAAUGCUCCAAUGCUGAAGUUGAAGUGAAAUGCUGACAGACUGUAGUAUGAAUGUAAGAAUAGUUUGAAUGUUGGAAUAGUUUGAAUGUUGAAGAGUUUGAAUUUCCAGGAAAACUGGAAUUUUGGUUUGGAACUUGGGAAUGUGUUAGUUUGAAUGUCCAGGAUGAGUGGAAUGUGUUGAUGUUGGAAUGGUUUGAAUAGGUUGAAAAAUGUGGGAAUUGUGCAACUUGGUAAAAUGUCCCAUUCAUUUCAAUAGGAACUUCCUGGAAAUUUGGGAAUUUUGGGAAAAGUGGGAUUUUCAGAAACUGAUUAGGAACAUGAAUGUCCUAAAUGAGCUGAAUUGGUUGAUGUUGGAAUUGGUUAAAUCGGGCAAGAAAUGUUGAAGUAGUAAAUGGUAUUAGGGAAUUUCGGGAAAAUGGGGAAUAUUUUUGAACUUGGAAAAAGGGUAGUUUGAAUUUCCAGAAUGGUGGAAUGUGUUGAAGGUGGAAUGGUUUGAAUGUGUUGAACAAUGUGGGAAUUGUUGAAGUUUGAAAAAUGGCCAAUUCAUUUUUGAAUGGGGAAAAUGCCCCCCAAAAAAAGGAAUUAUGGGAAAUCCGGGAAUUUUUUUGAUAGUUGUUGAAGUAGAGCACACAAUUCCCGGACAGGUUGAAUGUUUUGAAGUUGGAACAAUUUGAAUCAGAUGAAAAAUGUGGGAGUUGUGGAACUUUGAAGAAUGUCCCAUUGAUUUCAAUGGGAAUUUCCCCCAAAUUUGGAAAUUUCGGGAAAAGCGGGAAUGUUUUGGAAAUUGGUCAAAAAAACAAACUUGAAUGGGCUGAAUGAGUUGAAAUGGUUGGUGUUGGAAUUUUUCAAAUCGGUCGAGAAAUGUUGAAGUAGUGACAUGUUGAAUUGAGAAAUGGUAUUAAGGAAUUCCUGGAAUUUCGGGGCAAACGGGAAUUUUUCUAGUUCAAAAAAACACUUUUUUUUGUUCUGAUUAAGAGGAAUGUUUUGACGGUGGAAAGGUUGAAGUGGGUUAAAAAAUGCGGAAGGAGUAGUCGCCAGAAAAAAGGGUCAAAAAAAGUUUUGAAUGCUCCAAUGCUAAAGUUGAAGUGAAAUGCUGACAGACUGUAGUAUGAAUGUAAGAAUAGUUUGAAUGUUGGAAUGGUUUGAAUGUUGAAGAGUUUGAAUUUCCAGGAAAACUGGAAUUUUGGUUUGGAACUUGGGAAUGUGUUAGUUUGAAUGUCCAAGAUGAGUGGAAUGUGUUGAUGUUGGAAUGGUUUGAAUAGGUUGAAAAAUGUGGGAAUUGUGCAACUUGGAAACAUUUUCCAUUCAUUUCAAUAGGAAAAUCCUGGAAAUUUGGGAAUUUUGGGAAAAGAGGGAUUUUCAGAAACUGAUUAGGAACAUGAAUGUCCUGAAUGAGCUGAAUUGGUUGGUGUUGGAAUUGUUUAAAUCGGGCAAGAAAUGUUGAAGUAAUAAAUGGUAUUAGGGAAUUUCGGGAAAAUGGGGAAUUUUUUUGGACUUGGAAAAAGGGUAGUUUGAAUUUCCAGAAUGGUGGAAUGUGUUGAAGGUGGAAUGGUUUGAAUGGGUUGAAGAAUGAGGGAAUUGUUAGAUUUGAAAAAUGGCCAAUUCAUUUUUGAAUGGGGAAAAUGCCCCCCAAAAAAAGGAAUUAUGGGAAUUCCAGGAAUUUUUUUGAUAGUUGUUGAAGUAGAGCACACAAUUCCCGAACAGGCUGAAUGUUUUGAAGUUGGAACAGUUUGAAUCAGAUAAAAAAUGUGGGCGUUGUGGAACUUUGAAGAAUGUCCCAUUGAUUUCAAUGGGAAUUUCCCCCAAAUUUGGAAAUUUCGGGAAAAGCGGGAAUGUUUUGGAAAUUGGUCAAAAAAACAAACUUGAAUGGGCUGAAUGAGUUGAAAUGGUUGGUGUUGGAAUUUUUCAAAUCGGUCGAGAAAUGUUGAAGUAGUGACUUGUUGAAUUGAGAAAUGGUAUUAAGGAAUUCCUGGAAUUUCAAGGCAAACGGGAAUUUUUCUAGUUCAAAAAAACACGUUGUUUUUUGUCCUGAUUAAGAGGAAUGUUUUGACGGUGGAAAGGUUGAAGUGGGUUAAAAAAUGCGGAAGGAGUAGUCGCCAGAAAAAAGGGUCAAAAAAAGGGUCAAAAAAAGGGUCAAAAAAAGGGUCAAAAAAGGUUUCAAUGCUCCAAUGCUGAUGUUGAAGUGAAAUGCUGACAGACUGUAGUAUGAAUGUAAGAAUAGUUUGAAUGUUGGAAUGGUUUGAUUGUUGAAGAGUUUGAAUUUACAGGAAAACUGGAAUUUUGGUUUGGAACUUGGGAAUGUGUUAGUUUGAAUGUCCAGGAUGAGUGGAAUGUGUUGAUGUUGGAAUGGUUUGAAUAGGUUGAAAAAUGUGGGAAUUGUGCAACUUGGUAAAAUGUCCCAUUCAUUUCAAUAGGAACUUCCUGGAAAUUUGGGAAUUUUGGGAAAAGCGGUAUUUUCAGAAACUGAUUAGGAGCAUGUAUGUCCUGAAUGAGCUGAAUUGGUUGGUGUUGGAAUUGUUUAUAUCGGGCAAGAAAUGUUGAAGUAAUAAAUGGUAUUAGGGAAUUUCGGGAAAAUGGGGAAUUUUUUUGAACUUGGAAAAAGGGUAGUUUGAAUUUCCAGAAUGGUGGAAUGUGUUGAAGGUGGAAUGGUUUGAAUGUGUUGAACAAUGUGGGAAUUGUUGAAGUUUGAAAAAUGGCCAAUUCAUUUUUGAAUGGGGAAAAUGCCCCCCAAAAAAGGAAUUAUGGGAUAUCUGGGAAUUUUUUUGUAUAGUUGUUGAAGUAGAGCACACAAUUCCCGAACAGGCUGAAUGUUUUGAAGUUGGAACAGUUUGAAUCAGAUGAAAAAUGUGGGAGUUGUGGAACUUUGAAGAAUGUCCCAUUGAUUUCAAUGGGAAUUUCCCCCAAAUUUGGAAAUUUCGGGAAAAGCGGGAAUUUUUUUGAAAUUGGUCAAAAAAACAAACUUGAAUGGUCUGAAUGAGUUGAAAUGGUUGGUGUUGGAAUUUUUCAAAUCGGUCGAGAAAUGUUGAAGUAGUGACUUGUUGAAUUGAGAAAUGGUAUUAAGGAAUUCCUGGAAUUUCAAGGCAAACGGGAAUUUUUCUAGUUCAAAAAAACACUUUGUUUUUUGUCCUGAUUAAGAGGAAUGUUUUGACGGUGGAAAGGUUGAAGUGGGUUGAAAAAUGUGGAAGGAGUAGUCGCCAGAAAAAAGGGUCAAAAAAAGGUUUGAAUGCUCCAAUGCUAAAGUUGAAGUGAAAUGCUGACAGACUGUAGUAUGAAUGUAAGAAUAGUUUGAAUGUUGGAAUGGUUUGAAUGUUGAAGAGUUUGAAUUUCCAGGAAACUGGAAUUUUGGUUUGGAACUUGGGAAUGUGUUAGUUUGAAUAUCCAGGAUGAGUGGAAUGUGUUGAUGUUGGAAUGGUUUGAAUAGGUUGAAAAAUGUGGGAAUUGUGCAACUUGGAAAAAUGCUCCAUUCAUUUCAAUAGGAAAAUCCUGGAAAUUUGGGAAUUUUGAGAAAAGCGGAGUUUUCAGAAACUGAUUAGGACCAUGAAUGUCCUGAAUGAGCUGAAUUGGUUGGUGUUGGAAUUGUUUAAAUCGGGCAAGAAAUGUUGAAGUAGUAAAUGGUAUUAGGUAAUUUCGGGAAAAUGGGGAAUUUUUUUGAACUUGGAAAAAGGGUAGUUUGAAUUUCCAGAAUGGUGCAAAAAAGGAAUUAUGGGAAAUCCGGGAAUUUUUUUGAUAGUUGUUGAAGUAGAGCACACAAUUCCCGAACAGGCUGAAUGUUUUGAAGUUGGAACAGUUUGAAUCAGAUGAAAAAUGUGGGAGUUGUGGAACUUUGAAGAAUGUCCCAUUGAUUUCAAUAGGAAUUUCCACAAAAUUUGGAAAUUUCGGGGAAAGCCUGAAUUUUUUUGAAAUUGGUCAAAAAAACAAACUUGAAUGGUCUGAAUGAGUUGAAAUGGUUGGUGUUGGAAUUUUUAAAAUCCGUCGAGAAGACAUGUUCAAUUGAAAAAUGGUAAUAAGGAAUUCCUGGAAUUUCGGGUAAACCGGGAAUUUUUCUAGUUCAAAAAAACAUUUUGUUUUUUUGUCCUGAUUAAGAGGAAUGUUUUGACGGUGGAAAAGUUGAAGUGGGUUAAAAAAUGUGGAAGGAGUAGUUGCCAGAAAAAAGGGUCGAAAAAAGGUUUUAAAAAACGGGAAUUAUGGGAAUUCCUAGAAUUUAUCUGAACUUGGGAAAAAUAAUAGUUUGAAUGUCCAGGAUGAGUGGAAUAUGUUGAGGAUGGAAUUGUAUGAAUAGGUUGAUAAAUGUGGAAAUGGUGGACAUUUGAAAAAUGGCCAAUUCAUUUUUAAUGGGAAAAAUGUCCCGGAAAACCUGGAAUUCUGGGAAAUCUGGGAAUUUUUGGAAUUUGUCAAGGGAAAGCCUGCAAUUCCCAAAUAAACUAGCCUGAAUUGCGGGUGUCAGGGACAGAUGCAGAAGGAGAUUUUUACAACAAAGUUCUAAUUUAUCAGAUAUAUCAGAUCGUAGGUGUGUUUUCUUUUGUGUUUCUUGCAUUGUUGUUGCGUUUUGCUUGAUUGUUAAAUAUGUGGAUGGAGAGGGGGUGUGACGUUCAUAUGUUGUCAAUAUUCAAUGUUUUAUCGUUCAUAGUUAAUAUUGUAAAUCCCACAUUCUUUAUUUUCAUGUACAUUCUGGAUGUCUCAUUCAGUAAUAAAAUGUAAAAUUCUAUUCCGUUUUUUAAGGUGGUCUGUCAUAAUGUUUUUAGCAUUCAAUCAAAAAUUAUUGUGAGGGUUUGUAUUAAAUAGAUAUACCGGCCCCCAGACCCAUUUUUUUCUCUAAAUUUGGCCCCCGAGUGUUAGAAUAAUAAUGUGUAAGUUAUCACACUUAAAGUCCGUUGUUAUAGUUAUUAGCUAUUGUGCUCAAGCUGUACUUUUUCUAUCUGUGCCAGGACAAAACUUCUUGUCUGAGGCGUGGCUUCAGCCGCAGAUGUUAUCUUUGUUUUAGCCCGCUAACAGCCAAGGACUUCAAGGACCUCAACGAAGAUAAGACGACAGCACGCAGACAAAGCAGAGACAAGGCGAAAUCACAAGGCCCCAGCACAUUCCGUCACAUAUUGUGCAUACUGGAGUUGCUUUGCAUGAUAUGUGUGACCACUCCUUUUAGGAGCGGCCUCAGUGAUGUUGACUGGGGAACUCCUGAAUAAAUAGAGGGAGGCGGGAGCUGUACCUUAUAGCGUAGGGCGAGACUGUGACUAAGUGUGCAGCUCCAUGCGUUCUCCCCAUGAGCUAAAUUGAACUCUGUCACUGCAUGAUUCCUUGCUUCUUGUCUGUUUAUUAGAUGUCAUCAGUGUUUGAACCUGACACCGAGUCAAAAUAAUUGCCCAGGCCUGUUCUAACCUUUGGCUCAAUCUCUUCUUACAUGCCAUAAUGUGUGGUUGGUUUGUUCCUGGAUUUGUUUUGUUUGCAACAAUUGCUUCUCUCUCUCUCUCUCUCUCUCUCUCUCUCUCUCUCUCUCUCUCUCUCUCUCUCUCUCUCUCUCUCUCUCUCUCUCU